rnacentral:lncRNA from 1 species
AACAACAAAACAUUUCACAAGUUAAAAGUUCAAACAUCAUUCGGUGAGUGUUUUGUACUACAGCAUCUCCAUCUCCAUCUCCUUUACUAGAAUCUUCAUCGUCGGCAUGGUUCGAGGGAUCAUGGCGAGAAGGAUUAGCAUCUAGGGAAGUCUCGUGAGAUCAUUAGGAAUCAUAAGUUAAAUGCAUUCAUUUAAGUUCUAUUAAGAACCAUAAGUUCAUAAUUCAUGAUAGUGCAUAAGUUAUACCUUAAUUCUAAAUCUAAUGUAGUUCAAACCAAAAACCCAAAAAGUUCAUAAUUUUAGAUAGUUCAAAUCUAAAUCUAAAUCUAAUGUAUAAAAAAUUCCUAUUUAGUCACAUAAUUUCUAAAAAGAUAAAAAACCUAAAAAAUUAGAUAAAACUAUAUUUCGAAAAUUAAAAAUUAGCUAAUAAGGUAGAUUACUAACUUUGAACAAUAAUGGCAACGGUGGUGCCGACGAGGAGGAGAACGGCAAUGGUGGUGGUGAUGGCGGUUGGGGGCGCAGGCGUGAG